rnacentral:lncRNA from 1 species
AUGAAAUACAUAAAAAAGAUAAAGAAUUUCCUUAAACAUUCGAGACUAGUGAACAGCAUAAAAGCGGACAGGGCCCCUGGCCACGCCAACAGCUGUUCGUCCUCCGACACGAACGGUUCUCGACGAUGUUCAAGCAGAUUUUGCUCGUGGUCCUCGUGCUGUCGUCGAUGCUAGCUCUUGCUGUGGGAAGCGUCGAUGGCGACUCACCAUCCCCGAGGUCCGCUAGGUUUGCUCCCGUAUUGCCUUGGGCUGAAGCCCCUUGAAGCGCGACGCUGAGUUCAGCGGCAAUCGGAUGCUGCUGUGCUGAAUAAAUGCUGACUGGGA